CCUACGGGUGGCAGCAGUGAGGAAUAUUGGUCAAUGGGCGCGAGCCUGAACCAGCCAAGUAGCGUGAAGGAUGACUGCCCUACGGGUUGUAAACUUCUUUUAUAAAGGAAUAAAGUGAGGCACGUGUGCCUUUUUGUAUGUAUUUUAUGAAUAAGGAUCGGCUAACUCCGUGCCAGCAGCCGCGGUAAUACGGAGGACCCGAGCGUUAACCGGAUUUAUUGGGUUUAAAGGGAGCGUAGAUGGGUUUUUAAGUCAGUUGUGAAAGUUUGCGGGUCAACCGUUAAAUUGCAAUUGAUAAUGGGCGGCUUGAGUACCGGUGAGGGUGGGGGGAUUCGUGGUGUAGCCGUGCA
rnacentral:rRNA from 1 species